rnacentral:tRNA from 1 species
GCGUCGUUAUGGUUAAAUCAAAAGACAGAACUAAGUAUGUAGAACUGUUCGUAGAGCGCUUCUGGACGCGGGUUCGAUUCCCGCCGCCUCCACCA